UUCCUACGGGAGGCAGCAGUGGGGAAUUUUGGACAAUGGGCGCAAGCCUGAUCCAGCCAUGCCGCGUGUAUGAAGAAGGCCUUCGGGUUGUAAAGUACUUUUGUCAGGGAAGAAAAGCCUGAGGAUAACACCCUCAGGUCAUGACGGUACCUGAAGAAUAAGCACCGGCUAACUACGUGCCAGCAGCCGCGGUAAUACGUAGGGUGCGAGCGUUAAUCGGAAUUACUGGGCGUAAAGCGAGCGCAGACGGUUAUUUAAGCAAGAUGUGAAAGCCCCGGGCUCAACCUGGGAACUGCGUUUUGAACUGGGUAACUAGAGUGUGUCAGAGGGGGGUAGAAUUCCACGUGUAGCAGUGAAAUGCGUAGAGAUGUGGAGGAAUACCGAUGGCGAAGGCAGCCCCCUGGGAUAACACUGACGUUCAUGCUCGAAAGCGUGGGUAGCAAACAGGAUUAGAUACCCUGGUAGUCC
rnacentral:rRNA from 1 species